AGUUCGACUAGCUUAUGUUUUGAACACUAGAAGAUGAUAGACAUGUAUAAUAUUAUUUAUGCAUAUGUACAUAAUAAUAUGUUACAUAUUCAUACUUACAUACAUAAAAAUCAUUCACGGUUAAGGAACAAAUCCUUCCGAUGAACACACAAAUAGAUGUACCCACUGGAUAUCGAACCCGGGACCUCCAGUUUGGUAUGCAGUUAUUUCUCUCUUUUUUUACAAAUAAAAACGCCAACACAUGAAAUUUACUAAUCCAAGACCUCCAAUCUUCGUAAAACUUACUAAGUUCUUGUGCACUAUAGGUUUACAACAACAAUAAAUAAUGAAUUUGAAAGAGAGAAAAAAAAAACUAAAUUUUAUAGUAUCAUACCGCAAACGUUUCUGUUUAAUACAAAAUUAAUUUGGCAUUCAGCUGGCAGUAGGGUCGGGAAGGCAUAGUUCAACAUGGAGGUGGUCAGUUAAGAAGGAGGCUGGCUCAACUGGACUCGACUGAAAAUAGCUGGAAGUAACCGCUCAAGAUCGCGACAAAUGGAUAAUAAAUCUGGGAGCCCUAUGUCUCAAAUUAAUUUACAAUAAUUAAUGUUUCUAAACUAUUCUCCUGCCACAGGUAAUGUCUAUAUCUACUAGGAGAUCUUAACUUUUAUAAAUUAACCUGCAUUGUUUAACAGAAAUAAACAUUUUACAUUUUUUUUUUUUCGUUUUUUUUUUUUCAUUCCAUUAGAACUUCCUACGUUGGUCACUCCUAUGAAUUAUAUAAACCUAAUGUAAUAGAAUUUUAAACUCCGUUCGGCCAUCCCACAAAACAACUAUUUUAAAAGUCAGUGAUCAAUAUUAUCUAUGUAUUCAAUAUGUAUAGAUCUAUCUUUUAUUUAGCUGAAGCUUCGGUGGCAAAAUAAAAAUGUGGUUACAAAUAAUAGGCAACGUACUUUUUUUUAUGAAAUGGUAUUUUGGAGCUUCCAUCGUAACAAGUCCAUAAACCCCAGGAGAUAACGCGAUAUUCUUCUAGUUGAAUCUUAACUUAUCGUACAGAGGCGGAUUCAUCUUACAAAAGUCAUCCUCUAGGAGGUCUAGGAUGUUUUGGGCUUCUGGGUAUGACACAAUUAAUUCAAAGACAUAUUAUUUAUAUCAGUCAUGCUUCAUUAUGGCAAUAGGUUAGGUAU